rnacentral:rRNA from 1 species
CCUACGGGCGGCAGCAGUGGGGAAUAUUGGACAAUGGGCGAAAGCCUGAUCCAGCCAUGCCGCGUGUGUGAAGAAGGCCUUCGGGUUGUAAAGCACUUUCAGUGGGGAAGAAAGCCUUGGGGCUAAUACCCUCGAGGAAGGACAUCACCCACAGAAGAAGCACCGGCUAACUCCGUGCCAGCAGCCGCGGUAAUACGGAGGGUGCGAGCGUUAAUCGGAAUUACUGGGCGUAAAGCGCGCGUAGGCGGUCUGAUAAGCCGGUUGUGAAAGCCCCGGGCUCAACCUGGGAACGGCAUCCGGAACUGUCAGGCUAGAGUGCAGGAGAGGAAGGUAGAAUUCCCGGUGUAGCGGUGAAAUGCGUAGAGAUCGGGAGGAAUACCAGUGGCGAAGGCGGCCUUCUGGACUGACACUGACGCUGAGGUGCGAAAGCGUGGGUAGCAAACAGGAUUAGAUACCCCUGUAG